GAUUAGUUGGGCAACUCUUCUGACAGGGGGCAUCUGCACACUUCAAGCAUCUCAUUGCUUCUCGAAGUGCUCCUCGCUCACUAAGAGUCGUGUGCUUGAUGUCAUCAAAAUUAUUUUCUAGUUUCUCACAGUUAGAACAACUUUUGUCAGAAUUCCUUUUCCAGUGCUUCUUGACUUGUUUCUUUGUUACAGUUGAAUGAAGAGUUGCAUAAGUCUGUGUUCGGGGGUUUAAAGACAGGAGGUUCUCAAUGUCCACCGGGUCCCGGCUCAGCAUCCGAGCCAUGCUGUCCGCACCGCCACCACCUUCCCCC
rnacentral:lncRNA from 1 species